CAUUUUGAAAAAUGUAAAUUGCUGCUCAAGUAGACAUUAUUGUGUGAAAUAGAACUAAAGAGACUAAAACUAAAUAAUGACAAUAGUUUGGUUUCCUGUCUAGGCUUAAUUGUUAGCUGAGAUAGUAGCUUCUGAACAUAGUCUCAUUUGUAGGUCCCAACGCCCUUUUGUUGAAAAGAGGCUGACAUAGAUCUCUCCAGGCUGGUUAACAUCUUCAUGUGCUUUAGGGCAUUGUGAGAACUAUGGGCCUACAUCAGGACAAACUUGAUUGAUUGAUUGGUUUUUUGGGUCAGAUCUUAAAAGUCUGGACUAGACAAACUGUAGAGCUGUCAUUCUUGUAUUUGUUUUGUGUUUUCAGGAAGCCCGAAAGAUGAGAUCAAUACAGGAAACCCUGGGAGAGUCUGGGAGUUUACUUCCAAAUAAAUUGAAUAAGUUGUUACAGAGGUUUCCUAACAAACCUUACCUCAGCUGAAAAUGGACAAGUAUUUUCAAUGACUGAAAUAUAGCUUCUGACAACUAUGCAGAGGCAUUUUAGAGACAUUGGCAUUG
rnacentral:lncRNA from 1 species